GACUGUUUGCUCUUUUAAGGGUCAUGUUCUCUCCCCUGGUGAUCUUUUGACUCAGGGGUCAAUAGAGAACUGUUGGACCGUGUGAACUCCAAGCACAGGCAGGAACCAGAAGUAUCCUGACCAAGACCGCUCCUGGAUUCCUAUGACUUGAGGGCUCCAGUCGGGUCCUUCCUAUCUGAAAUUGUGGUCUGAUCUCUGUUCUCUGGUGAGUCAGAGCUCCUGGAUAGUGGCUUUCUGCUCCGUGCACAGAUAAAGACCAGAAGGAUCCUGUUCGGACUGCUCCUAGGAUCAUGUGUCCAGAAGGCUCCAGACAGGCACCUCUUGGGGCAAGGAUGUGAGCACAAGUGUUUGUCUCCACAGUGCUCUCAGGAUUAAAAGCAUUUCUGACUGUCCAGCUCUCUUCCCAUGGGAAUCGUGGUGCUGAGCGCUUUGGGCCUGUGUCGCCCUGGCCACAGUUGGGAAACCAGAAGUAUCCUGUCCAAGACUGCUCUAAGAUUCCUGUGUCCAGAGUGCUCCAGGCAGGUUCUUCUUGGGCCAGGAAUGUGCAGUAGUGGUGGUCUCCCCAGAGAUCUCAGGAGUGUCCGUACUUCUUACAGUCCACCUCUAUAUUUCAUAGGAUCUGGAUACAGAAAGCUAUAGGACUGGGCCACCUCAGGGUGCAGACAGAACUUGCAAGGGACCUAUACCAGUCUGCUCCUAAGUUCCUGUGUCAGGAAGGAUCCAGAUGGGUUUACCUUGGGCCAGGAAUGAGAGACAAGAGGAGGCCUCCCCUCUUCUUUCAGGAUUUUCUGCACUUCUGAGAGUGCACUAUUUCCACAGGGGAUCUGUGCAUAGAAAAUUAUGGGACUAAAUCAGUUCUGGGCUCAGUCACAAACCAGAGUUAUCCUGUCCCAGCCGACUCCUGGUUUCCUAAGUUCUGAGGGCUCCAUGAGCAUUUGUCAGAGCAGAAGUGUUGUUCUUAGCACUGCUCUCAAGUGUGUCAGUGCUCCUGGAUACUGGCUUUCAGCUCCAUGCAAGAGCAAAGACAAGAAGGAUCCCAUCCUUGGUUGCUCCUAGGAUCCUGUAUUUUGAGGACUGAAGGGAGGGUUCUCUUGGGCCAGGAAUGUGUGCAGAAGUGGUGGUCUCCUUUGUGCCCUCAGGAAUGAACACACUUCUGAGAGUCCUUCUCUCUUCCCAAGGGGUCCUGGUACAGAAAUCUGUGGGACCAUGUCAUCUCAGGUCACAGGCAGAAAUUAGAAUGAUCCUGUCCCAGAGGCUCAUGGCUUCCUGUGUUGUGAGAUCACCAGGAAGGUCCCUCAGAGUAGGAGUGGUGGUCUUACCUCUGCUUUCAGGUGUGUCUAGUAUACUGGAGACUGGCUUUCAGCUCAGAGUGCAGGCAGAGACUGGAAGUAUCAUGUCCCUGGCAGUACCUUGGUUCUUGGAUCCAGAAGCCUCCAGAUUGGGAACUCAUUGGGUAGGGAUGUGAGCAAAAGUGAUGGUUUCUCCUGUGUUCUCAGGACUGAAUGCACUUCUGACAGUCCUGGUCUCUCCAUAAAUGAUCUUGGUACAGAAAUAUCCAUGACCUGUUCUGCUCUAGGCACAGGCAGAGACUAGAAUGAUCCUGUCUCAAAAGGCUCCUGGUAUCCUAUGUUUUGAGGUCUCCAGGGGAAUCUCUCAGAGGAGACGCGGUGGUCUUACGUCUCCUUUCAAAUGUGGCAGGUAUACUGGAGACUGGCUUUCAACUGUGAGCACAAGAAGAGACAGGAAGGAUCAUGUCCCUGACAGCUCCUAGGUCCCCGUGUCUAGUAGUCUCCAGACUGGUAAAUCUUAAGGCAGGCAUGUGAGCAGAAGUGGUGGUCUCCUUUGUGCUCUCAGGAUCAAUUGCAUUUCUGACAGUUCUGCUCUCUGUCCAGGGCAUCUGGGUAUGGAGAACUUUGGGCCCGUGUCAGCACUGGGCCCAGACAGAAACCAGAAGGAUCCUGUCUAAGUCUGGUCUUACCUCCCUGUUUUCAGAGGGAUCCAGGUGUGUCAGUGCUUUUGGAGACUGGCUUUCAACUCCACGCAAAGGCAAAGAAAGAAAGUAUCAUGUCCUUGACUGCUCAUAGGAUCCUGUGUCCUGAACCUAGGUGGGUUCCACUUGGUCAUUAAUGUGAGCCCUGUUGGUGGGCUCCCCUGAGAUCUCAAGAUUGAAUGUAGCUUUGAGAACCAUGCUUUCUCACCAUGGUAUCUGGUGAGAAAGAACUCUGGGAAGGUACCAGUCACAGGUACCAAGGUUCUCCUAUUCCAGAAGUGUCUGGGUUUCCUGUGUCCUGAGGGUUAUGCAAGGGUACCUUCAAGAAGAAAUUGUGGUCUUAAAGUCUGCUGUCAGGUGUGUCAGCGAUACUAGCUAUUGGCUUUCCUCUCUGUGCACAGGAAAUGACCAGAAGUAGUCUGCCCAUGACUGCUCCUAGGUUCCUGUAUCCAGAGUGUUCCAGGUGGGUUUCUCUUGUGCCAGGGAUUGUGAGCAACAGAGAUGGUCUCUCCUGUCCUCUCAGGAUGGUCCAGUCUUCUGAGAAGCACGCUCUCUCCUCAGGGGAUCUGGGUACAGAGAGCUGUGGAACCAGUUCAAUUUCUGGCACAGGCAGAAACCAGAAGGAUCCCGACCGAUGACUCCCUGUUUCCUAUGUCCUGAGGGCACCAGAAGGGUACAUUGGAGCAGAAAUUGUGGUCUUUCCUCUGCUUUCAGGUGUGUCAGGUAUACUGAAGAUUGGAUUUCUGCUAUGUGCACAGGCCACAACCAGAACGAUCAUGUCCUGACAGUUCCUAGGUUCCUAAGUGUCUAAAAGGCCCCAGACUGGUACCUCUUUGGUCAGGUUUGUCGCUGCUUUUGGAGAGUGGCCUUCAACUCUGUGCACAGGCAAAGACUGGAAGGAUUUUGUCCCUGAGGGCUCCUAGGAUCCUGUGUUCUGAGUGUCCCAGGUGGGUUCCUCUUGGGCCAGGAAUGUGAGCAGAAGUGGUGGUUCCCACUUAGCUCUCAGGAUUGUCCUCACUUCUUUGAGUACAGCUCAGUUCAUCGUGGGAUCUGGGUAAAGACUGGUGUAAGACUGGGUCAGCUCUGAGAGAGAUGGAAACUAGAAGGACCCAGUCUAAGUCUGCUCCUAGGUUCCUGUGUCCAGAAGCCUCCAGUCUGGUACACCUUGGGCCAGGAAUGUGAGCAGACGUGGUGGCCUCCCCUGUGCUCUUAGGGCUGAAUGUACUUCUGAAAGUCCCCUACUCUCCCCAUGGGAUCUUGGUACAGAAAUAUGUGGGACAGCAUUGGUACUGGCCACAUCUGGAAAGGAGAAGAAUCCUGUUCAAGUCUGCUCUCAGUUUCUUGUGUCCAGAGAUCUCCAGGUGGGUUCCUCUUGGGCCAGAAAUAUGAACAGCAGUGGUGAUCUCCCCUGAGCUCUCAGGAUUGUCUUCACUGCUGAGAGUCCACCUCUAUACUUCGUGGAUCUGGAUAAAAAAUUCUGUAGGACAGGGCCAGCUCAGGGUGCAGGAAUACUAUCCCUGUCUGCUCCUAGGUUCCUAUGUCCAGUGGGCUCCAGGAGGUUCCCUGGGAGGAGAUAUUGUGGUCUAACUUCUGCUCUCAAUUGGGUCAGUGCUACUGGACACUGGCUUUAAGCUCUGUGCAUGGACAAAGACCAGAAUAAUCGUGUCCCUCACUGUGCCUAGGUUCCAGUGUCCAGAGGGCUCCAUGAUGGUUCCACUUGUGCCUUGAAGGUGACCAGAAGAGAUUUUCUCCCCUGUCCUCUCAUGAUUGUCCAGUCUUCUAAGAUUCAUGCUCUCUCCCCCAGGGAAUCUGGGUAAAGAGCGCUGUGGGAUCAGGUGAGUUACAGUAACAGGCAAAAACCAGAAGGAUCCUGUCCCAGUCUGCACUUGGGUUCCUGUGUCCAGAUGCCUCUAGGCAACUUCCUUUCGGGACAGCUAUAUGAGCAGUCAUGGUGGUCUCCCCUGAGCGCUCAGGAAUCUCUGCUCUCUGAGUGUCCAGCUUCAUAGCACACGGGAGCUGGAUACAGAAACCUGUAGCAUCUGGUCAUGUCCGUGAGGAGAAGGAAUCUUCAAUGAUCCUAUCCCAGUCUGCUCCUACGUUCCUGUGCCCAGAGAGCUCCAGGCAGGUUCCUUUUGGGUCCAGAAGCUGACUAGAAGAGGUGGUCUCCCCUGUCCACUCAGAAUUGUCCUCAGUUUUGAUAAUCACAGUCUCUCCCCAGGGGAUCUGGGUACAGAGAGCUGUGUGACCAGGUCAGUUCCAGGCACAGGUAGGAACCAGAGAUAUCCUAUCCCAGACAGUUCCUAAUUUCUUAUGUCCUGAGGACUCCAGGAUGGUCUCACAGAGCAGAAGUGGUGGUGUGCUUGCCCCUCCUUUCAGUUGUGUGAGAGUAUUUUGUGUCUGGCUUUCAGCUCCAUGCACAGUCAAAGACCAGAAGGAUCCUGUCUCUGACUGCUUGUGGGAUUCUGUAUUUGGUAGGUUCCACGCGGGUUCCUCUUGGGAAAGGAAUGUGAGCAGAAGUGGUGUUUUCCCCUGAGCUCCCAGGAUAGUCUUCAAUUCUGUGAGUCUAACUCUAUUCCUCAUGGGAUCUGUGUACAGAGAGUGUGAAAGCAUGUCAGCUCUGAGAGCAAAUGGAAACCAGAACGAUCCUGUUCCAGUCAGAACCUGGGUUCCUGUGUCCACAAGGCUCUAGAUUGGUACCUGUUAGACCAGGAAUGUGAGCAGAGGUGUUGGAUGCCCCUGUGCUCUCAGGAUUGAACACACUUCUGAGAGACCCGUUCUCUCCUCAAGGGAUCUAUGUACAGAAAUCUGUAGGACAGGGUCAGCUCUGACACAGGCAUAAAUUAGAAUGGUCCUGUCCCAGAUGGCUCCUACUUUCCUAUGUGCUGAGAUAUCCAGGCGGGUCCCUCGGUGUAGAAAUGGUGGUCUUACCUCUUCUUUCAGAUCUGUCAGGUAUCCUGGAGAAGGACUUUCAGCUCUGAGAGCAGUCUGAGAGCUGAUGGAUCUUGUAUCUGACAGCUCCUAGGUUCCUGUGUCCAGAAGGCUCCAGCCUGGUACCUCUUGGUGCA
rnacentral:sRNA from 1 species